rnacentral:rRNA from 1 species
GAUGAACGCUGACAGAAUGCUUAACACAUGCAAGUCUUUGGCGAAGCUGUGCUCGCCCAGCCUAGCCAAGGCGGACGGGUGAGUAACGCGUAAGGAACUUGCCCUGCAGUCAGGGAUAACAGACGGAAACGACUGAUAAGACCUGGUAAAGUCAGGCGGACUCAUGUCCAGCCUGAUGAAAAGGGAUGCUGCAGGAGAGCCUUGCGUCCUAUUAGCUUGUUGGUGGGGUAACGGCCCACCAAGGCGAUGAUAGGUAGCCGGCCUGAGAGGGUGGACGGCCACAAGGGGACUGAGAGACGGCCCUUACUCCUACGGGAGGCAGCAGUGGGGAAUAGUGGACAAUGGGGGCAACCCUGAUCCAGCAAUUCUGUGUGUACGAUGAAGGUUUUCGGAUUGAAAAGGGCUUUCAGAAGGGAAGAAAAAAAUGACGGUACCUGCAGAAGAAGCGACGGCUAAAUACGUG